rnacentral:rRNA from 1 species
CCAUAGAACUGCUUCCAAAACUGCUUAUCUAGAGUAUGGGAGAGGUAGAUGGAAUUUCUGGUGUAGGGGUAAAAUCCGUAGAGAUCAGAAGGAAUACCGAUUGCGAAGGCGAUCUACUGGAACAUUACUGACGCUGAGAUGCGAAAGCGUGGGGAGCAAACAGGAUUAGAUACCCUGGUAGUCCACGCCCUAAACGAUGCACACUAGUUGUUGCUAUGCUAGACAUAGCAGUAAUGCAGUUAACACAGUAAGUGUGCCGCCUGGGGAGUACGGUCGCAAGAUUAAAACUCAAAGGAAUAGACGGGGACCCGCACAAGCGGUGGAGCAUGUGGUUUAAUUCGACGAUACGCGAAGAACCUUACCUGGCCUUGACAUAGAAAGAACUUUCCAGAGACGGAUUGGUGCUAGUUUACUAGAGCUUUCAUACAGGUGCUGCACGGCUGUCGUCAGCUCGUGUCGUGAGAUGUUGGGUUAAGUCCCGCAACGAGCGCAACCCUCGUGUUUAGUUACUAACAGUUCGGCUGAGGACUCUAAACAGACUGCCUGGGUAACCAGGAGGAAGGUGAGGACGACGUCAAGUCAUCAUGGCCCUUACGGCCAGGGCUACACACGUGCUACAAUGGGGUAUACAAAGAGCUGCAAUACGGUGACGUGGAGCAAAUCUCAUAAAAUAUCUCCCAGUUCGGAUUGAAGUCUGCAACUCGACUUCAUGAAGUUGGAAUCGCUAGUAAUCGUAGAUCAGCAAUGCUACGGUGAAUACGUUCCCGGGUCUUGUACUCACCGCCCGUCACACCAUGGGAAUUGAAUUCAUUCGAAGCGGGGAUGCUAAAAUAGCUACCUUCCACAGUGG